UACGUAGGGUGCAAGCGUUAAUCGGAAUUACGUGGGCGUAAAGCGUGCGCAGGCGGUUAUAUAAGACAGUUGUGAAAUCCCCGGGCUCAACCUGGGAACUGCAUCUGUGACUGUAUAGCUAGAGUACGGUAGAGGGGGAUGGAAUUCCGCGUGUAGCAGUGAAAUGCGUAGAUAUGCGGAGGAACACCGAUGGCGAAGGCAAUCCCCUGGACCUGUACUGACGCUCAUGCAC
rnacentral:rRNA from 1 species